CCUAUAGUAGUUUUCCAUCAUCACAUCUCUAUAAGGGCUCCUUUGAUCAGGUGCCAGAAAAUCCUACUCCUUCUAAGUAAAUUUCACAGCCACAGCUUCAAAGGCCAUUAACUCCAUUUCCUGGAUCAAGAUUCUGAGGCUUUCUUUGGGCAUCAGCCAUACCGUCCAAGAGGGAAGAGGGAAAAAGGUGGAACUGCAGCCACAUGGAGCAAUCUGGAAUCAAAUGGGAGAAGUUUGUGCCAUGCAGGCUGGUGGAACAACUGGGAUUUUACUUUACAAUGGUUAAACAGUCAGGAAUAUUUGACUUGUUCUUGGAAUAUCUGUGAUGCAAUAUCAGAGAAACCUCAAGGCAAAACAAACAAAAAAAAAGGGUGAGAAAUCUCUGAAGAGACUGAAGUGAAGGCACAGCCCCAAACUGAGGCAAGUGUCCAGUGGCAAGUGUCUGAAGGAAGUCUCAAGCCUCCGCAGCACUGGUUGGAACCAAGAGGAAUUUGAACAGGUGAUAAAAUGUCUCCCUUGCUUCAUCAGGAAGGCCUGUCUACUUCUGCAUGGAGGCAAAUUACACAUUUGCCUAGAGAUGUGCUAAGACAUUCGUGAAGAAAUUUAAAAGCUAAGGCCACUGAGGAAAUGUUCUUUAUGAGAUGGAAUCUCUGGAGGUAUCACCACAGUUGGCAGCAGUUAGAAGUGAGAUAUGUUCACAAGUACUGAAUAUGAAGAGGGAUGCUUGCGUGGGGCUUAGUAGUCCAGAGGAUCCAAAUGGCUUAGUAGGCUUAGAGGAUCCAAAUGGAGCUUCUCCUUGGGCCCACUGCUGGUCUGCUGUAUACGGUUAUAACCAGCCACACCUGGGUCAGCCCAGUGAGAGCUUCCAGGUGGACAUAGGUGGGAAAUCCCUGGUUUCUAACACAGGCACAACUGUCCUGUAUUAGACACAGUCCUAACACAAAAAGAAUUUCAAGGCCUAGAAUCUAGUUAGUCCUGGGUACAAGAAUCAUUACUUCCUAUGGUGGGUGAAGUGGUUUCUGAGUGAAAACACGUCAUGAAUUGGGGGAUGCCUGCAUGGUCUAAGGGCUGAAUCUACAUCCCCUUGAGUAUGAUUGGCAGUGCAAAUCAUUCAAGACAUCUCAGGCAUCAAAUGUGUUCUAAAUGCCCUCAGGUCACAAAUAUCUUGCAGAGCAAUCAUGAUAUUAAAAAUUAAAAUUAUUUGGCCUCUGUGUGAUCUAUGCCACUAUAUUCCUUUAUAAACCUAAAACCAUACAAUAACAAAAAUGACAGAAAAAUUUAUCAACUGGAGACUGCGGUGAAAGGGGACUGAGAGGAGUGAUCUGUGGGUAAAUUACUAUCAAACAAAAUUGGAGCUGCCAUAAAGAUGUUUUGACUCAUUAGUAUGUGAUGGAGCUUGACAAGUGUUGAAAGGAAUCUAAGAGAUUGAUAGUUCCUGGUUUGUGGUCAGUGAAGACAGAAUGUUGAGCUAAAGAGCAAUAUUUGACUUCCUUGAACAAAUACCUGACUCCCAGGGAUGUGGUGAGUCAUUAGUGAAAGGCAUGAAAGCCCUGAUCACGUAUCUUUCUUGCUUGCUGGAUUAUAAUGAAGGACAAGGCUAAAGUUGGAAACCAAGAAGGAACUGGCAACCAGAAAUUCACUUAUGGUUUCAAGCCUCAGCUAUGCAUAGAGAACUUUGUAUAGAGAAAUUCAUCAUUACCAUUUCUAUGAUGAGAGAAAACUACACAAACUACACAAAUUGAAAAUCAACGACUUCUUGGACCUGCCAAGAAACCAAGGUUGCAAGACAAACUGAAAUCUGGAAAGAUAAAGCACUCAGGGAGACACAGUCAGAUUUGCUUUCCUGGAACAGAAGCUUCUGGAGCCAUGAACUGAUAUUUUCAUCUUCUGUGUCAUCAUCUUCCAAGAUGAAAGCCCUUCUAGAACGAAAUGCCUACUCCAGCUUAGUCAGACCACCUGUCUCCAUCAUCUUUAUUCACCCACUGGUUCCAUUUUAAAAAGGAAGAUCCAGGCAGUUGUUCAAACCACUUCAGUUCCUUCUGAAUUUCUUAAGGAAAUCCUAUUUCUAGAGGCGGUGUUAUAAGAGGAGAAAUUUUUAACAGCCUUCUUAGCCUUUGCGUUUGCAAUAAUUUAAGGGAAUUAUUUCUCAACAAAACAAUGUGAUGAAAUAAUCUUUGCAUAAUAAGAGCUACCAUUUCUUUUUUUUAACAACUUCAUUGACCUCUAAGUUAUAUACAACACAUUCACCAAUUUUCAGAGAUCAAUCUGAUAAACCUUGGCAAAGGCAUACAAUAAUGUAAUCACCAUUGAAAUUAAGGUAGAAAAUAUUUCCCUAACACCAAAAAGAUUUCUCAUAAUCUAUCCUCUACACCUGGCUCCAGGAAAUCACUAAUUUGCUUCCUGUUGCUACACUUUUUCGUUUUAUAGAACUUCAUAGAAAUGUAAUUACGUAACAUUAUCUUUCAUGUCUGGUUUCUUUCAAUAAACCAGAUGUUUCCGAGAUACAUUCAUGUUAUUUUAUAUAUUGAUUGUUUGUUCCUUCAUAUUGCUAAGUAAUAUUCCACUGUGUAGAUUUUUCAUAAAUAAUUUAUCAUUCAUCAAUCCAUUGACAUUUUGUUUUCAGUUUUUAUUUAUUAACAAUAAUGAUGUGAUGAACAUUUGCAUACAAAUUUUCCAUAGGCAUAUUUU
ensembl:lncRNA